AUGUUUUUAAGCAGACUAAAAACUCAUUCUGCUGCCUUGUUGCUGUUCAUUUUCAUUUUGUUUUUAUUUUUUCUAAAGCAGUUAACCAGCUGCACCCUCACUGAGCCUAGAAGAUACAGUCUCAUAUAUGAAAACACUUGUAACAUGACUGGAGGAUGGUUAAAAACAUAUUCAAAUGGAGGUUGGAAUCCUAAAGAAAAAUCUAUCUCACUAUAUAUUAUGCUUCAAGUAGUUGAUUUUCCACUGGUACAUGUGAUGCUGCAUAAUACAAGAAUUGGAGGCAGGAUUUCUGAUGGGUUAGAUUGGAUUGAAGCAUAACAGGAACAGGGGUUGUCUCUCAGAACACUUCUGACAGGCUGCAGGCUCUGAGGCCAAUACUGGGAGCGUAUCAGGAGGGGUCUGCCCCCUGGUGGAUUCCAGCAGAGAAUUUCUGAUUAUGUCUAUUAUUUCCAAAAUAGAUCUUCUCUUCCAC
rnacentral:lncRNA from 1 species